UGUAACACCCCUGGUGUUACGAGAAACUAAAACCUGGCAUGACAUCAUAUGCACUUGCAUUAACUUGCUUGAUAUACCUAUAACGUAUUCAUUAGGUAAAUUUUUUUGCAAUAACUGUGAUGUUGUGUAUUAGAGUAUAGGACUUAGUUUGAGGAUUUUGUUUAGGCAAGUGGAGGUAAGUCAUCUCUUAGACAAGUGAUAAGUUGACUUUGAGUCUUAAGUACUAAGGGUGAAUCUUAGAACCCAGAGCAACCUUACUUUUAACAGCUAAAUCAAAGUGGAAGAAUCACUCGGGGAGAUGGAUAAACUUCAAAACCAUAAAUUAGAGCUCAAAAGUGAAAUCUGAGAUCUGGCCAUAGGUUGCCAAAAGUCAAAAUACCAAAGUUAUAGAGUUUCCAAAACCAAGCAACUUUCAUGUGUUGAGAUUUUAAAGUUUUGAAGAGAAAUUUGGAGUAAUUUGCAGAUUUCCAACUUGAUACAGUUUUGGUUCAGCUAAAAACAGUUUGCUUUACUAUUUCUGGACCCCUGUAUGUUUUAAUCUGGGGGAUUUUGGCAAAAGGUUGCUAUAGUAAACUUGUAGAGUAACUAUAGGAGAACAACGUUUAUUAAGUGUUUAAGCCCUAAAUCUAUAUUAAAUUGGUAUAAAAAGGAGCCUAAAGAUGCAGUGUUCAGUUUGGAAAUCAGACUUAAGAUAAAAAUUCAGUCCUGCUGAUUUUUCAGUCUGAAGCAGAUUUGGGAUACUCCUUAAGGGCUGAUCCAUAUAGUUCUAGGCCAUGAGUGUUGUACCAAAGUGGAAGCCCAUACUUUGGUGUGCAAGUUUGAUUAAGGGUAAUGCCACUAAAACCAGUUGUAACUGACAGUAACAGUAGUUCAAAGAUUCAAUGUGCUAAAUCUGAAUUCAGACUUAGUCUUAUUUCAGCACACAGACAUUGCGUGUUUGGCUCAACUUUGGAGCUCUCUAGUGCUUGGUCCUUGGAGUAUUAAGCCAUACCUUUUAUAGCAAAGUUGAAGAAAAUAUAUUUGUGUGCAAGUUUCCUUAAGGGAGGAUGGCUUGGUUCUAUAUAAAAAUCACAGAAAAGGGUGCCUAAAGAUGGGCUGUCAGGUUCUUGGAGUUUUCAGAUUAGGAAUAGUGAACAGAUUUGAGUUUCAGCAUUUGGCUCUACUUUGGGGCUGUGUGGUGCCUUUUCUAGGAAAUUUUAAACUGAGAUCUUUAUAGCAAGAAUGGAGGUUAUUUAUAAAUGAACAAAUGUCUUUAAGGGUGAGGGACUUGAUCCUAUACAAAACCUGGAGAAAAAAACUGGUUCCAAGAUCAGCUGCCAGGUUGGCUGUAAUUGAAUUAUGUUCAGUCACUGAAAACUGAAUUUGUAGUGCAUGAUGCCGGUUUAGAGCAGUUUUGUGACAAAUUCAUGCGUUUUGGGCUAAAAGUUCUAUAGCAAGAUGGAAGAUCAUCUGAAGGUGAAACAGUUUUAUGUGAAGAGUUGGGCUUGCUACUGAGUAAAAUGUGGAGAAAAAGGUGUUGCAAUUUUCUAUGUCAGGUUGGGGGUGAGCUGUUUCAGUUAGCUGAAACUGGGUGUUUCAGUCUGUUUGCUCUACUUUGGUACACCAUAACUCUUGUUCUGAGUAUUUUCAACCUUGGGUUUCUAUAGCAAGUUAGUAGAUCUAUGGUUGGGAAAUAACUCUUGUGAAUUAAGAUGGAUCUGUUGCUAUUGGAAAUUGACAGAAAAAGGGGUCCCAAUUUGGUCCUGCAGUCAAGUUCGACUAGUUCAACUUGGAUAUAAAAAAAUAUCUGCAGACAGUAUCCCAAUCUACUACACGCUUCCAGGAAACUCUAAAAAAAUGGAUGAGAAUAACUCUAUCCUGAACAAAAUGGGGAGGGGUUCACGUGAAUAAAUUUUACAGCUCAGGGGCAGCAGAGGCAGAAUUGAGCAUAUCUUAAAUGGUGACUCAGCUGCUUGUGUGUUUUGCUGUCAGCACAGGAUUAAGCCUCCACCCUUUACCUCUCUGUAUAUUGGUCCUGUGUGGAGUGGGGAAGUGAAGCCACGUGCCUACACUCAUGUAACUGCUGGUACUUCGAGGUCCCUCCUCAUCUUAAUUUCUUUGAACCCAGCUAGUGCAUUCACUUUGUCCCAUUUGCUUAAGAGCCAAGCUGAGGAGCCUUCGCUUCCCCCUUAGUUCAGUUCACCGUGGGUUGUAGUGGCUCACGUCUUCAUGUCUGUGUUAGCGUUCCCCUAGCCGCACCUGGUGUUUGCCCAGGUUCUUCGCACGGCGAUUCCCUGUGUUUGAUGACCACGCCAUCCAGUUCUCCGCCUCAUCGUGGCCAACACAACUCGAGCUGGUGAAUGUCGUCUGGAGCAGCCUCACUAUCGCGAUCUGAUUCCCGAGUCAGCUCCGCUUACGUUUGGGUGUUUGGUGGUGAAGAAAUGAAAGUCUUGGGGCUGCGUAGGAAAAGAACACCUAGAAGAAGUGGUGUUUAAAGAAGAAGCCUGCCCCAAGUACUGUUGAUCCAGUGGUGGAGUCUCAUCUAACUGUAGAAAGGUUUUGGAUCUUCUCCUGCGAUAAG